GACGAACGCUGGCGGCGUGCUUAACACAUGCAAGUCGAGCGGAAAGGCCCUUCGGGUACUCGAGCGGCGAACGGGUGAGUAACACGUGAGUAACCUGCCCCAGACUUUGGGAUAACCCUCGGAAACGGGGGCUAAUACCGGAUACGACACAGCUUCGCAUGGGGUCUGUGUGGAAAGUUUUUCGGUUUGGGAUGGGCUCGCGGCCUAUCAGCUUGUUGGUGGGGUGAUGGCCUACCAAGGCGACGACGGGUAGCCGGCCUGAGAGGGCGACCGGCCACACUGGGACUGAGACACGGCCCAGACUCCUACGGGAGGCAGCAGUGGGGAAUAUUGCACAAUGGGCGGAAGCCUGAUGCAGCGACGCCGCGUGAGGGAUGACGGCCUUCGGGUUGUAAACCUCUUUCAGCAGGGACGAAGCGUAAGUGACGGUACCUGCAGAAGAAGCGCCGGCCAACUACGU
rnacentral:rRNA from 1 species